rnacentral:rRNA from 1 species
GAUGAACGCUGGCGGCGUGCCUAAUACAUGCAAGUCGAGCGAACAGAUGAGGAGCUUGCUCCUCUGACGUUAGCGGCGGACGGGUGAGUAACACGUGGAUAACCUACCUAUAAGACUGGGAUAACUUCGGGAAACCGGAGCUAAUACCGGAUAAUAUAUUGAACCGCAUGGUUCAAUAGUGAAAGACGGUUUUGCUGUCACUUAUAGAUGGAUCCGCGCCGCAUUAGCUAGUUGGUAAGGUAUCGGCUUACCAAGGCAACGAUGCGUAGCCGACCUGAGAGGGUGAUCGGCCACACUGGAACUGAGACACGGUCCAGACUCCUACGGGAGGCAGCAGUAGGGAAUCUUCCGCAAUGGGCGAAAGCCUGACGGAGCAACGCCGCGUGAGUGAUGAAGGUCUUCGGAUCGUAAAACUCUGUUAUUAGGGAAGAACAAAUGUGUAAGAAACUAUGCACGUCUUGACGGUACCUAAUCAGAAAGCCACGGCUAACUACGUG